rnacentral:sRNA from 12 species
CGGGGCUUGGAAUCACGAUGUUGUGGCCCCCGCUAGCGUCUAAGCGAGCGAUCACGGGGAUCUCCACACGCUCGCCGGUAUAGCCGCGCACCUCUAAAGUAGGCCGCCGAGGGAUGCCCGCAUCGCUCUCGGUGCUCCGAAUUUUAUGCGAGGGACGCGCUACACGCCGUGGAGGGGUAGGCUGAGUUGGGAACGGCCUAGAAAGUGUAGAACGCCA